CAACAAAGCGGAUAUUCUUCGUCUGAAUAAUAAAAUCCUCUUCGCCAGUUGAACCUGAUAAAGAUAGGGAAACGUGGAAUUUGAACUGGCCCGACGAUCAACUGAAACGCUCUGCACUUCUCGAGUAUCUGUAUAUAUAACCGAUAAUUUAAUUGGAAAAAUGAUCCCGAUUUAAUAAAUUAAUGGCAGACAGAAGGAUAAAAUCGUCGUGCCAAAGCGAGAUUUUACUGUCGACGGAGAUAGCGCGAAACUCACCUAGGAGAAUCGGAAAUUGGCAGAAAAUGGCGACUCACAGGAAAACUCGGUGACUUAAAAACAAGUGAUAUUCAUUUAUAAACUCUAUCUCGUAUAUACAUUUGUUACUUUGCAUACGAUGACAUACAGGGUGCAACAUAACACAUAAAUAAAACAAUCUUCAUAUGGUU